rnacentral:rRNA from 1 species
GACGAACGCUGGCGGCGUGCCUAACACAUGCAAGUCGAACGGAACUGUUUUGAAAGAUUUCUUCGGAAUGAAUUUGAUUUAGUUUAGUGGCGGACGGGUGAGUAACGCGUGAGUAACCUGCCUUCAAGAGGGGAAUAACAUUCUGAAAAGAAUGCUAAUACCGCAUGACAUAUCGGAACCACAUGGUUUUGAUAUCAAAGAUUUUAUCGCUUGAAGAUGGACUCGCGUCCGAUUAGUUAGUUGGUGAGGUAACGGCUCACCAAGACCGCGAUCGGUAGCCGGACUGAGAGGUUGAACGGCCACGUUGGGACUGAGACACGGCCCAGACUCCUACGGGAGGCAGCAGUGGGGGAUAUUGCGCAAUGGGGGCAACCCUGACGCAGCAACGCCGCGUGAAGGAUGAAGGUUUUCGGAUUGUAAACUUCUUUUAUUAAGGACGAAAAAUGACGGUACUUAAUGAAUAAGCUCCGGCUAACUACGUG